AUAAUUUUCCUUGCUCAUCAAGGCCACUCGCUUUAUAUAAGUUGCUACUUUUAUGUAGCUUUGCAUAUACUCACACACUCGUCUUUCCAAAAGAACAAUAUUCCAGACAUUCUCACACUCAUUUACGCAAAGCUUCAUUAUUUGCGCCACCACUAUAAUGUCUCUCUUCUCAAACUUGUUGAGCUGCUUCAAGGUUCCGUCGUCGUCGUCGUCGCCGCCGUCGCAGAAACAGCAUUCCUCGUCGCCAAAGAAAAGCAAGUCGCCUCGUGCACCUAUUCCCAUGUCUUACUUCCCCAUCAACUCUCAAGUCUCGCGCUUAUAGUCUCGUCUCUCCGGCCAGGUGUCAAAGUCAUCGAAGUGGGUCGUCAUGCUGGAUUAAUUGGCCUUACUCCACUCCUUCAAGACCUAUGAAUUUUUGCUACAUCUUAUUCUGAUGAGAAUCGGUGUCCCAUAAUUUUGUAUCAUAUUUUAUUACUUCCUCCGUCCACGAAAAACACAAAAAAUUCUGUGAAAUCGAUUUUUUUUAAAAAAUCACCUUCACAAUGACACUACUUCAACAUACAAAUGAUAUUUUAUAAUGAUAAAGUAUCAUUUGUAUGUUGAAAGUAGUGUCAUUGUGAAUGUGGUUUUUUUUUAAAAUCGAUUUCACAGGAGACCAUCUCCACGAAAAAUAGUCCUCCACGAAAAAUAGUGAUAAUAAAAGUGGACGACACGAGUUUUAAUAAAAAUGGUUAUUGUAUUGUGAAUGGAGAAAUGACUCCACUUAAAAAAUAGUGUUUAUAAUGAUAAUUAAUUAUAUUGUGAGUGGAGAAUAGGGUCCACCAUAUAAUAUAUACUCCCAAAAUAGCAAAAAUGGGAGUAUUUUUUAUGGACGGAAGGAGUAUUAUAUAUAUUAUUUCAAUUAUAUUUUUUAUGAAAAUAAACUUUAUUAUAAUAUUGUGGAAUGUGGAUUAUGCUUAAUUUUUAUUUACAAAAGUUAAAAUUUUAACAAAUUAAUUAUAUACCCUAACUUUGGAAUCUACUGUAUAAAUAUAGUAUAGCCUAGUCUAAUUAUUUCUCAAGCCGAACUAGAAUUGACAAAUGACAACUCUAGAAAAAUGUACAUUAACUUUUCUUUGUUGAAUUUGAUUAAUAACCUCCCUCCCCCACCCCCACCCCCAACACACACACACACACGUCCACACAUAGGGCAUGUUGUUUUAAGGGGAAUUACAUUUUUCAUGAUAACCAUUCUAACUAAUGCAUUCAUGUAAGAAUUAAUGCAUUCGAUGUUAAAAUUAAUGUAAUUAAAAAAAAUCGCAAUAAGACCAUUUAUAGAUCCUAGAUUAUUUUAAAUUCUAUUUAAUAUCAUGAUUUAAUAUGUCUUUCUACAUUUUUUUGGUAGAAAAGCAAAUGAAAUUCAAAUAAUUAUGUCACCUUCCAUUUUCAAUGAAAUUUCGAAUUCAUGUUCAAUGAAAAAUUCCUGUGAGUAAUUACAUUGUUGAUCUUGAAUAAAUGCCGACUGGCUGUGAAUAAAUCACAGUUUCCCAUGAACAAGACGAUACAAAUAAAAUGAAUUUUGCCCAAGUCAUUUUCAACGAAAUUCCCAUGUAUAAGGUUGUGAAUAAAUAUCAAUUGGCCAUGAAUAAUCACAAGCUCCCGUGAAUAAUUAUUUAAUUAAAAUUUUUCAUAAUUAUAACCACUAUGAAUCUCACUUAUUAAAGAAGAGAUGACAAAUCAAUUGUAAGAUUUAGAAAAUCAAUAAAUAUGACGAGUUCUUAGUUCUCACAGAUAUUUGAAAUUGUCACCUGAUUCUCUCUUAUAUAUGUGAUGUAUGUUGAGGUUCAAUUCAUGCCUCUGUUGCUAGGAGGUUCAGUUCAUGCCUUCUAUUGUUGCUAAGAGGUUCAACUCUAGGAGAUUCCAAUAUUUUACUAUUUGAUGCAUGGCUGCAAAGGGAGCAAUUGUGUCAAAUAUAAUCACAAAUUCAGAGAUUAAUUAUAUACUGAAAAUUAUCAUAUAUAUGUAGGUCAUACGUCGUUACUGGAGAAAAUACUAGUUGAAACAAAUUUUGAGAUAUAAGUCCGUUUGAACAGAAAUGAGAUUUUUGUCUAGUACUAAUUUCAAGAAGUUUAUUUGGACUACCAUUAUCGGCAAUUAUUUGAAUCACUUCACUGUCUAAUCUCUUCAAUAUUUAAUUAAUUUAUUUCACUUUCAUAUCAUCAAUAUAUUCAGUAUUUAACUUAAUAUUAAAAUAAAAUUCAAUAAAUUAAUAACAAAUUAACAUUAAUUAAUAUAUACAAUAUUUAACUUAAUAUUAAGACAAAAUUCAAUAAAUUAAUAACAAAAAGAGUGGAGCAAUCUUGUGGUCUCUUGAAGGUUGAGUUAACGGCUAUGGUCGGUUAAGUGAUGAAGACAAAAAUAUGCAUCCCUAAAAUACUGAAGAAAAGUAGUUCAGUACACGUUGGGCCUACAGCCAACAGCGCUGCUCCACCAUCAAAACAGCCCUGCGUGGCUCGAGACAUCGCUGCGAAGGAUAAGCAAAGGCCCAAUUAUGAGAAAAUCAUGCAGGCCCAUCAAUCUUUCAAGGCUAUCUAGGUUAAAGCCCACAUCGAUGUCGCCCCCAAACGAGACAAGCCUAAUUCCUCGGAGAUAGAAUCUACUCCAUAAAAAAACCCAUGAAGAUCGCCGAUAAGUAUCAAGACCGAAAGGAAUUUGAUUCCUAGUAUAACUCUUUCUUGUUAUCUAUAAAAAGGGGGAAAAACCCUAGUGUAAAUUCAUAGCCCUUCGCCGCUCUUGAUAUUCAUAGCUUCAUGCUUAAUACAAAGUUCGACGUUUUCAUCGUGUCAUUGUUUUUCUUUCAAAGUUUGUUACUACUAUUAUUUUUGGGCACAACAAGGAAUUAGAUUUUUUUUUUCUUUUUAGUUAAUUAACGAAUGGUGGUCAACCACCUCAUCAAUUCAUCAUUGUUAUUUUAGUCUUAUAUUAGGAGAAAUUGUUUCCGAAACAUUAGUUCUAUAGACAUUUUUAAAUAAACAGAAAUCAAAGAGAGAGAGAGAUAAAGUGAAGAACAAUGGUUUCUGAAUAAGUCAAUCCAGUGUAUCAAAAGGUCCAGUAAAAGUAAAUUAUCAAAUGUUUACAAAUUUCAUGAAAGGACUUUAGUGCUUUAAGUGGAAAUUUGGCCUUUUUUAGCCAUUCAACGUACGAAAAGCGUCUUCUAGGCUACUGAUGACAAAGAGUUUUCACAGUCAUUUUUAGGGUUUUGUCUUAGCUACAUCAUGCGCGCCACGCAUCGCCGUUUAGAUUGAAACACGUGUACUCCUAUAUUGACCAGCUUUAAUGUGUAUCGGACCGGGCCGAGCGGAUAAAAACCCGCUGGUUCUUUGUCACUCUUUUUCAGCAUAUUCGACUUUUUUGUCUGUUGGAUGCGUGGCGCUCUGGACGUAAGCCACCCGUCCCUAUCAGAAACCUAUUGCUUGCCUAGUUUUUUUGAAUUUGCGUAGGACACGUUUCGAUUUUCUGUGUGUUAGAUCUUGUGAGUGAUUGAUCGCGACCGUCGAUAUGCACGAUCUAGGGUUUUCUAUCCCAUUACUUUGACAAGAAAAAUUUAUUUCGCCUCGUCUUUGUUGUGAGCUUUCGAAGCUGUAUUCCGGAGCAGUCGGUUGUGCCAUGGAUACGGAAAGUUGUGAGAAAGUUGGUAUUUUUUUGUCUUGCUAAUAAUAACAUGUUCAUAUUUUUUUGAAAUAUGAUCUACGUGGAGUAGGUAGCUGCUAAUUUGCGGUAGAUUGUUUUAGAUAUGAAUUAAGUCACAACUGUCAUUAAUGAGUUUGUAGUUUUAGCUGUUAUUUUUCAGAAGUGUCGACAUUUCAUUUAAUAUUUCACAUUUGUCGCAGUAAGUGAAAACUAACAAGAUAAUGCUUAAAUAGUUCUGAAAACCAGUUAAAUUUUGUACAAAAUUUAAAUGAGAGACAUAUAUUAUUUGUGAGAUCUGAUUCUUGUUAGUGGGUAAUUAAGUUGCCUUUAAAAUAAUUAUUUUGUUGUUCAAUUUUAAACUAAAUUCUGAAAUUGAAGUUUAUUUUUUCUUUUUGGUGAAAAACUGCGGUUGAAUUAACAUCAAGAUGCGAAUUGUGGUUUCUUGGAGAGAUUCGUGGAUCAUUAGCGGAGGGAAACAUGUGUCUUUAUCGCCAGUCUUGUUUUGGCCACCUAUUGAACAUUUCAGAGCUUAAGUUUCAAGGAGAGUUGGUGAAACUACUAUGCAAUAGGCUACACUCGAACAGCUUUGCUAAGAAUUCCUUGAUUUUCAAUAGUUGAAUUUGGAAGUGCAGAUUUUUGUGUUAUAAGUGGCUUGAAGUUUAGCGGUGAUUCUUCUCUUCCAAAUUAUUCCAAAUUCCACGCGUCUGUGUUUCCCUCACGUAAUGAUUUGUCUAUUCGCGACAUCGAAACCGAAUUUCGAAAGGAGUGUGAUUUUAGCGGUGGCAAGUCCGCUAAGAGUUUGAAGCUAGCUUAUCUACUAACUAUAUAUGGUUUAUUGGUCUUUAACAAUGAAGACAGUGGAAAAGUGGAAUUGGGAUUUAUGCACUUGCUCGAUGAUGUACCGAAUAUGAUGAACAAUUUUCCCUGGGGUCUUGUUUCGUAUUAACAUCUUGUAACUUCCAUGUACCGGCUGAAGAGGGAGUUGGGUAACGUUGAGAAAGCUAAGAAUACACAUUCGUUGGAGACGUAUGGGUUUUUGCAUGCUUUAUAGUGUUGGUCGUAUGAAGUCAUUCCGAUGCUUGCCACGUAUUGUGCCUCUAUAAAUAUCGAGCAUCUGAAUUUUUUUCCUUGAAUAUGUAAGUGGGUGGUCACUCGGGAGUUGGAUAGCAAAGAUGUUGGUGUUCGUAAAAUUUUAUAGGCCGAGCAUGGAUGUUACCCCGUAAGAGAUUUUGUUUUAGUAUAUUUUUUAACGCCUUCUAUGUUAUUUUCGAAUAACUAAUGCCUCGCACAUGCAUCUUGCAUUGUUUUGUAGGUGCGUAUUUGUCUGCUGAACAGUGAAAUGAAGAAAUUAGGCGAGCUUGGCAUAACUCUCAUCAUGCAAGUUGCGUCUCCCGUACCUAUCGUUGAUGCAACAAACCACGUCGGACGUAAACUUGAUUUUGGAAAUGGUGAAUCUAGACCAGAUUUACAACGGAAGAACAUUCCUUGCAAGAGAAAGGGUAGACGCUUGGGUUCCUCUCCCUUGAAUAAUAAUUCAGGCAAGUCUUGUGAUGACGAUGAGUGUUCCAUUAUUGAACCAUGGGAGAUGAAAAAGCACAUGGCAAAAUUCAGUAAGCGUAAGUCCCGAUGUCAUGUACCCGAUGGCACACCUGCAAGCCAUGGCAAUUUGAACUCAAAAUUCGUGAGUCCCGACGGUGGAACUGUCGUUUUGGACGCAGAGGGCAAGGUAAGUGCAUUGAUGAGCUACUAUAUGUACAAAUAUUUAAUUGCCAACCUAACUCGCAUCCACGCAGGACGUUACAACGUUGUUCUUGAGCCUAAAGGGCCAAAUCAAGUGUUUGAAAGAGUUCAUGCAGUUGAAGUUCAAAGCUUUUGAAGAUUUAAUAGAGAGUUGCAAAGCAGGUGUCGGUUGUUCAUGUGCAAUUGAACUGGAGUGUGAGCGAAAGACUAUUCCGAUCGGUGCACCAAAUUCGAAGACGAUGGAUAGGGGAAUAGAUUGUGAUAACGAUGCCUAUAAAUCUUUUCGUGAAGAUGCAACACGGAAGACGUCAAGCCCAACCGCCGAUUGGGCUGAUGACACUUUUGAUUUAAUACCCAAUGUUAAUAGAGAUGAUCGUGUUGUAGGUCUUUGGAUGCACGAUCCUAACGACACCGACAUGGCGACUUCUGAACUGUACCGAUUUUGCUACAUGGACGCGCAAUCCUUUGAAGUCUAGCCGGUGAGAUUUACGCAUUAUAACUUGUUCGUUAUUAACUUAGUAAAUAUUAUUCUGCAGUAGAGCUGUAAUCAUGCGUUUUUAACUUAUAGGGAACAUUUGGUUAUACCGCCUACGAUAUUGUUAAAUACGCCGACGUGCCUUGGUUUAAGUUGUUGUGGAGGAAGGAUGGCUGGCUUGAUAACACGGUAGUUUCGUAAUUGUUUUGUAUUGGUUAUUGUCGUUAAUGUGAAUUCAUUUUGACAAGUGAUGAUCGAAAUUGUAUAUAUUUGCAGCACAUUGAUGCACUCAUAAACAUGCUCAUCAUAACUUUUGAUAACCAUAUCGGUGUGACUGUGAAGCGGCGGUGGACUUGCAUGGAGAUUCCAUGUUCGGUAAGAAUUUAUGGUGUUGUGUAGUUGUUUGUUGGAUUUAUGUGUUGUCCUCUUACAAGUCUUCCCUUUUUGGGACAUUGUGCAUGCAUAUAGCACGCAUUAACAAGGUCCAAUUUGUAUGAUGUUUUGGUUGUGGUGAUGCCUUACGUCUGUGGUGAACGGCCGAUAAGAGGCGGAUUGAAAGGGUGUGAUUCUAAUCACAUCUUUGGUAUCACCAAUAUCAAGAAUUGUCAUUGAAUAUUUUAUGAUGUGUCGUUGGAUGAGCAAUUGAUCAGGGUAUACAACUCAUUGGAGCAUAAUUGAGAAGAUGUCGUCUCACACUUUGCCAAUAUGCGCAAGAACCUACCCAUCGUUUGCAGUUUUGGUGGUCUUUGGGAGUCCUCAAGUCUGAAACGUAAACCGUUGAAACCAUUCUGGAACAUUGAGAACUUCGCCUCAGCUCCAAAACAAAUUAAUCAGAGCGACUGCGGUAUUAUGGCUAUGAAAUAUAUGGAGUGUUGUGCUUACAAUGUUUCGGUCCGGAAAUGGAUCCUAGUCGGUGUGAAAUUUCUCGUCGACGUUACUGCGCGAAGUUGUUUCAACUUUCGGAGUGGCUAAAAAAUACCGCAAUGGAAUGAUUUGCUUGGUCAUUUUUUACUUUUGCUGUUGCACUUGUGCGUAUACACAACUAUGUUGAAGUGCUUAAGUACUCCGAUGUGCUUCGUUUGACGGUUUUAAUGUUUGUUUUUUGGAUGCUUUUUUCCAUUGCCUUAAGUACACUGCGGAGAUAAUGUAUGUGGAUUUUUAAUGCAUUACAUUAAAUUGUUGAAUCAAUUGAUGAAUGUACCUCAAUCCAUUUUUUGUGAAACAUUAUAUUUUUGUUUAUUGUGUACCAAUAUUUAAAUGUUUUGGAAAAAAUUUAUACAAUCGAAAUAGUCUAAUUGUAUACAUAAUUUAAAUCCACGUGAAUAAUUUUUUCAUAUAUUAGGUUUACUUCAUUAUAUAUUUUUUGUUUGAAUAGUGCUAUAUAACUUAUACAAAAGAGUAAUUACGCAUUGUCAUUAUGCUUCGUAGAUGAAUUAUUAAAGCGCUCGAUAUUAUAGUACUAAGUUGACGUCGACGAGAGCAUGAUAACAUGAUGGUCGAGGAUGAAAAAUUCUAUUACAGAGCGCUAGGAACAACCGUCCAUGGUCGAGGAACUACUGAACUUGAAACCAUUGUACUCCUAAUAACUGAAGCCUGCCAUGAUAAUCAUAAUUUGAUAGGUAAUUAAACACAACGACGCCAGAAUCAUUAAAUGAUUCAGUGUUUUUAAAUUUGACUAGCAUCUUCACCAAUUCUUCAGAUAUCCAUAAUUUGCUCUGGUGUAAUGUCGAGACGGGUGAGUUCAAGGUGGACAUGAGUUUGACCGCAUAAAUCGCACUGCACGUUUAAGUUUGUAAGUUCAUAAAAAAAACCCAAUGAUUUAUCUUUAUAAUGACAUAGUGUAAUUAUGCUGGUUAUCUAUAAAAAUCACUACGCGUAAUCGUACCUCUGUGUUUUUGAAGCACGAAUAACCGAACACGCGAUCACAUGGUAAAAUGCUGCGGUCGAAGCAUAAAAUUUAAAACGCAUCGUCGUUUUUAGUGAUUUGUCAUACGAUCUGCAAAUUGCAUAGUUUGAUUAAAUGAAAGAAUGUCAUACCUUAUUACGUGGUGACCAGCUGAUUGCGUAGGGCGUUGACAGAAAUAACAUUUAAUAUUAAUGUCCGUCACCGGAGUGCUUUGUUGCGAUGAUUGUUGUGGCCUGACUUCGACCCUACUUGGUUCUUUAGCAUUGGCGUGUCCGGUAUCCUUAGUAAGUGAGGUUACGCUAGCAAGUAGUUCUGCCGUGGUGCAUCCGAAAUCCUUUAUAAACUUGUAAUCUGUCCAGUAGUCCUCCGUCAUCGAUGGGUUACACCUGCUCUCGAUCCACUCGCGCCAAUCGUCGACUGGUUCGUUGUCGUGGUCCAUUGACGUGCCACAAUUUGUUUCUCUUAUUGCUUUGUUAUUGAGGUGUGCUUCUGGAUAUAUGGUCCACGCUUCAUAAACACAUAUUUAUAGGGGUUUUAUCCCUGGUGCACUUUGGUAAGCUGCAUGCAUGACAUCUAAUUGAAUUAGACGUGGCAAAUUCCUGACCACACUGGGUUAGCUUCGUAGUGGUAUCUUGCAGAUAAUAUUGACAUGUGAACUAUUACUAUGCAUUCAUGUGACCCUGACGAUUAUUCUCAUGCAUCGCGUCGAUGACCUCGGGCACGCUUUCAUUGGAAUAAUUUCGUCCUCUUCGUUGUUUUUUGUGAUUCGAAAAUGUUGGAUAACUUUAUUGAUGGAGUAUGACGACCCAAAACAAUUUUUUUAAUCCUUAUUGUAAUUCGAAUUCAGGGAAGAAAGAACUAAUUGACACAAAAUUUAAACGAUGCCUACCGCACGAGUAUUUUAAAUUAUGUAAAGGUAAGCGGUGUUCUCAAAAAUAUCAUUUCCAAUAUGUUCUCUGAUCUCCUUUGAUUUGGGAGAAUUCAAGUCAAGCACGCAAUAUUUAUCCGUUAGCUUCAUUAAAAUAAAUAUAAAAUAAGAUAUAGAGAUGCAUGCAAAUAAGAUAUACAUUAUCGGAAUUACACAUCCAUAUAGGAUGAUUGUACAUCCACCAAACUCAUUCAAGCGUGCCAUCAAGAAUAGUUUGAAUCAGUGUAUGAGUUAGAUUAAUUAACUGUAAUAGUAAGAUAUCAAUAUUAAAUUAAUAAUUAACUCUAAUAAAGAUGCACUCUAAUAGAAUAUAGUAUUACUAAAAUAUGAAAAAUAUUACUCUUCCACAAUUCAAGCGUGCCAUAAAGAAUGCUUCACUUAAAAUUAAUUAAAUCUAAUAUUAGAAUAUCAAUUCAAUAAAAUAUACUUCCUCCGUCCACGAUUUAAUGCCCCACUUUGAUGUGGGCAAGGAGACUAAUAAAGCUGAAAAAGGUGAUGUGGAUGAAAUAUAAUGGUAGUUGACUAAAGUGAUAAAUGUGUUGUGAGUGGAUUCACUAGUGAUAAAGUGAAGUAAAUAUAGAAUAUAAAAAUAAUAAAAGUGUUUAAAGGUGGGGCCAUUAGUGGCAAAAAUAGAAGAAUUUUUUUUUAAAAGAAAAGUAAAAUGGUACAACAAGCAGAAUAAGGCAAUAAAUUGUGGACAGGUUUUUAAAGGCAAGUAGGGCAUUAAAUUGUGGACGGAAGGAGUAAUAAAAAUCUCUGUAAAGAUGCACUAUGUAUUAAGGAACAUGCCAUUCUCUAAGCGGAGCAGUUAACAACAUGGCAAUAUUACCGUAUAAAUAUAAAUAAGUCUUAUUAUAUAACAAGAAAUUAAACAAUUAUAUUUUAUCCAUGUCCGAUUCAAGAACAUUAGCCUGAGUUAGUUAAGAGAAAACUAUUUUUUGGUGAAUGCUUCGGAACAUACAUAAUUUAUUUUUUUUAUCUUUUGAUAUUAGUUAUGAUUCCAUAUGCAUUAUUUGCAAAAUAUGAGUUUUGCCCUUUUUGUUUUCGGGAAUUAAUGAGUUUUGCUUAGUUUGUAAUGCGUUAUUCUAUUUCGCAGAUAUUAGGGCUUCCGGGAUUCCAUCGUUUGUUGUGUCGAGCACAGCUGUGUUGUCGAUGUGUAAAGGAUAAAACAAAAUUUAAGAUUACAAUUGACAGCCAUAUCUCUGCCACUCUGUUGCAAUUCAUUAACCUAUGGAUAGUGACAAUACAUAAUCCUAUGAGAUCUUCAAAAUACGUUUCGUCGUUUCCGCUGGCGAACGGAUAUUAUCAUUCGAUGUUAUAAUUUUAUAAAUUUCCAUUGAAAUAAAAAAUUCAGUCGCACCUCAAAGCCUUAUAAAACACCCAAAUUAUAAUUCAAAAACAAUUCGCAUUACGUGUACUUUGUUGUCGAAAAAAUUAUAAUCCGCUGAACUUAUCGUCGAACAAAGGAAUCUGUUUUUUGGCGGUUUCUUGAAAAUUCGAAUUUUCCUCAAUAUUGGAUAUUGACGCCAAAUCGUAGAGUGGUUGUCAUAGCGUAUCUUCGCUUAAUCAAUAAACAAAUCUUUGACUUCCUGCUGUGCAACAAUUGCCAGUCAUGAAUAUCUUGCCUUUGUGUGUUGGUAUUGUUAUUUAAAAAAUUAUUUUAGUUUUUAUUCGAGUUUUUUUUAGAAAUUAUGUUAUCUUUAUUUGUUUCAAAUUAGUUGGGGAUUCUUCUAAAAAUAAUCAUAGAUUUGUUUCCACUAAUAUAGAUAUUCUCAUUCUCCACAAAAUAAUUCUAUAUUUGAAUCCACUAUUUUAGAGAUUCAACAUAAUUUUUCCACACAUAUUUUGUUUUCCGAAAUUUCUGUUAUUUAUAUUUUGUUUUUAUUUUUUUUCGAAAAUUGUGAUUUUUUUCCUUACUAAUUAAUCCAAAAGAAUUAAGAAUUCUGUCUGUGUCGCACGACAAUCGUGCAAAUUAGAUUAGUGAUGAGUGAUGAGUGAUCUCACUAAUCAAAUUAACAUUCUUAAGUUAUAAUUAUAAGAUUCUUAAUAAGAAUCUUCAAUUCUUAGUAAUAGUAUUAGAUUAGUGAUGAGUGAUGAGUGAUCUCACUAAUCAAAUUACAAUUCUUAAGUUAUAAUUAUAAGAUUCUUACUAAGAAUCUUCAAUUCUUAGUAAUAGUAUUAUAUGAGUGAUGAGUGAUGAGUGAAUCACUAAUCAAAUUAAUAGUAUUAAGUUAUAAUUAUAAGAUUCUUACUAAGAAUCUUGAAUUCUUAUUAGGAAUCUUAGAUUAGUGAUGAGUGAUGAGUGAAUAAUCUUGUUAAGAUUCUUCAAUUCAAGAGUAAUUAGUUGGGAUUCUAUUUAAGAUUCUUGAUUCCAAACUAGAUUAGUAAAUAAUUUUGGUAAGAUUCUUCAAUUAAUUAGUGAAAAAACCAAAGGAAAACGAAAAAAAUAACAAAAACAAAAUGAACCAAAGGAAAAAAAAA
rnacentral:lncRNA from 1 species